UGAGGAAUAUUGGUCAAUGGACGAGAGUCUGAACCAGCCAAGUAGCGUGAAGGAUGACUGCCCUAUGGGUUGUAAACUUCUUUUAUAUGGGAAUAAAGUUCAGUGUGUAUACUGUUUUGUAUGUACCAUAUGAAUAAGGAUCGGCUAACUCCGUGCCAGCAGCCGCGGUAAUACGGAGGAUCCGAGCGUUAUCCGGAUUUAUUGGGUUUAAAGGGAGCGUAGGUGGAAGCUUAAGUCAGUUGUGAAAGUUUGCGGCUUAACCGUAAAAUUGCAGUUGAUACUGGGUUUCUUGAGUGCAGCAGAGGUAGGCGGAAUUCGUGGUGUAGCGGUGAAAUGCUUAGAUAUCACGAAGAACUCCGAUUGCGAAGGCAGCUUACUGGACUGUAACUGACGCUGAUGCUCGAAAGUGUGGGGUAUCAAACAGGAUUAGAUACC
rnacentral:rRNA from 1 species